rnacentral:rRNA from 1 species
UACGGGAGGCAGCAGUGGGGAAUUUUGGACAAUGGGGGCAACCCUGAUCCAGCCAUUCCGCGUGAGUGAAGAAGGCCUUCGGGUUGUAAAGCUCUUUCGGCAGGAAAGAAACGGUGUGGGCUAAUACCCUGCGUCAAUGACGGUACCUGAAGAAGAAGCACCGGCUAACUACGUGCCAGCAGCCGCGGUAAUACGUAGGGUGCGAGCGUUAAUCGGAAUUACUGGGCGUAAAGCGUGCGCAGGCGGUUUUAUAAGACAGAUGUGAAAUCCCCGGGCUCAACCUGGGAACUGCGUUUGUGACUGUAGGGCUCGAGUGUGGCAGAGGGGGGUGGAAUUCCACGUGUAGCAGUGAAAUGCGUAGAGAUGUGGAGGAACACCGAUGGCGAAGGCAGCCCCCUGGGUCAACACUGACGCUCAUGCACGAAAGCGUGGGGAGCAAACAGGAUUAGAUACCCUGGUAGUCCACGCCCUAAACGAUGUGAACUAGGUGUUGGGGAAGGAGACUUCUUUAGUACCGUAGCUAACGCGUGAAGU